GCACUCCAGCUUCGAGUGUGAGAGACCCGUCUCGGUGGGAGGGACCUGGGCUGGGGGGGACGGUGGGGGAAUAGGGGGAUGGGGACUGGAGAAGCUUCUGGGAACAUUUGCUCUAGGGAUUGAGCUAAACUAAGAAAAAUUGGUCCAAGGCUCGGCACAAAAGGAUCUUUUCAUUCCAGUCCUUUCGCCCACGCAGGGAACGAUGCCUCUGGAGGUGGUGGUGGAGCUGCAGAUCCGGGCGAUUUCUUGCCCAGGGGUGUUCCUGCCUGGCAAGCAAGAUGUGUACCUCGGGGUCUACCUCCUGAAUCAGUACCUGGAGACAAACAGCUUUCCCUCUGCGUUCCCCAUUAUGAUUCAGCAGAGCAUGAGAUUUGAAAAGGUAUUUGAAAGUGCAGUGGAUCCUGAAGCUGUAGUAGACCUUUUGGAAAGCUUCCUAACCAGGUUUGAAUUAAUACAGCUAGUUCCUCCAGUGUGGGAUGAGUUGGCCUACUAUGAAGAAAACACACGGGAUUUUCUUUUCCCAGAGCCCAAGCUAACACCUUCGCACCCUAGGAGGUGUAGGGAAGUGCUCAUGAAGACGGCUCUAGGUUUUCCAGGAAUUGCUCCUAAAAUAGAGUUUUCUACAAGGACAGCCAUCAGAGAAUGUGUGUUUCUGCAUAGAAACAGAUUUCUUGAAGAAAGACAUAAGUCACGAAGGCCUUUAUCUACAUCACAUGAACCAAUAUUUCCCUUAAAUACUAUAAAGAUGAAACUAAAGGAGAAUAACCUCAACAGACUGCCCAAAGGCAUGCAAGCCCGGGAGCCCUCUCCAUGUUCUACCAGGCAUUUCUUCCAGGACCAGCCAGUUCAGUUGAACCUUGGAAGUAAUUUCAAAAUCUCUGGAGGAAGCAAGCCUCCAUUUGUUGUUAGACAUGUGGACAGUGCAAAGCCCUUUGGUGAGAAUAUUUCAGAGCAUCAUUUGAGGAGGUGUAGAAGAAAAUCUAAGUUUUCAGACUUUCCGUUUCCAAUGAGAAGAGCUUCUUCUCUUGACAGCCUUGCAGCUAAUGUAAAGGUUAUCAGAGAGCCAGAUGAACGGAUUAUUUUAAGGAGUGACUCAUCAUCACGUUUAGAUUCAAGUCAGUUUGGAAAGUCCUCGUCCAGUAAACAAGGUGAUGCCGAUUUCCACCGGAAAGCUUCAUUUGCCACCUCCCAGCAUUCCAGCUCUCUCGGACCCUUGGAUCAGCCCCUUCUCAGAGAAAGGUUCCAUCCUGGUUCUCAGUCCACUUGGAAGAAUAUCCAUGAGAGGGUAUGCAGUCUUCUGACAUCCCACAGAGCACAGCAGCACCAAAAUAAGGAAGAGUCUACCUCUGAAGUAAAUUAUAUCAUUGAAAGACCAAGCUGCCCUCUGAAGAAAUACCCACUGCAUGAACAGAGAUAUUUUUAAGCUGCUGUCUUAUAUAAGGGAAAUUAAUGAAAGCUGAAGGAGGAUCAUGAAGAGCUCACUCACUACGACAAUUGAAGCAUCCUUAAAGAAAUGAAUAAUUUUUGUUGUCUAUGUUGAAUCACUGAUGUCUAAUCCCCUUUAAACCAAAUGCUGUACUCAGUCUUUUGUGCCCAGGAACUGACACUCACUGAAAUUGGAAUUUUGAACUGGGAUAAACAUCAUACUUGUUUUACUGGGAUGACUUCCAGGAACAGACCGUAGGCAGUGGCAGUAGGUGUUAUUGCUGGAAGUGUUGCAUUCGCGGUAGGAACUCUUCAUUAUGAAAGCUCAUUUGUUGUUGCUUAAGGGAUAGGAUGACGUCCUUUGUUCACUGGGUCUCCUCCCAGCCCUGCAGUUAACCAAAUUGAUUCCACAGCCUCGCGUGGACCUACUCAACUUGUAUUUGUUAAACUUCUGUGUGCUCAGUAUUGCGCAGGACCCUGUGGGGUAGGGAGGGGUCACACUAAGGGGUAUAAAAAACAACCUGUGCCCUCUUGAAGUUUCCAGACUUACUGGGGCAAUGAGACGUUAAAUGAGAUAUUUCAAGUGUGAUUCCCAAAAGUGUUGCAAACUCGGAUGUCUUUAGGGCCAGGCAGGAUUUGUGACUGUCAGAAGCAGUGGAGUUUGAAAUAAUGGUGAGUGAUGGGAGCUGGAGUGAAGUGGAGCGUGUAACACCCCACCCUCCCACAAGGUGUUCAUCUUCAAAUUCAAAUCUAAACCAGCCAAAGGCUCUGUGGCCCACAUAAAGCUCGUCUGAAGCUGGGUCUUGCCCAAAGCCACCAGUUUUGACUCCUGUUUAGUAGUAUAAAGUAAUGAUAUUGAUUUACAGUGAGGUUUGUGGAAUUCAAUUUCAUUACUUUAUAGUCAAGUCUCAUUGAUUGACUUAAUAAUAUAAGGCAGUAUCUGAUUAUGUACCAAGAUACUGUUGCUUCUGUGUGUUUCAGGAGGUUAGAAACAGGUGGUAUUGGGAUUGGAGGCCAAGAAUUUAUUUUCAGGGUUUAAAAAAUAGGCAGACCAGGUAGAGAAGAGAUUUGGGAGAGUGAAGCAAUUGGGGAGAGUGUAAUGAAGCAUGUGCGUAUGGAGAAGAGGAAAUGUCUUCCGGAGUAUCUUCUGAAGUGUCCUAAAUAUUCAGGUGAGUAUUUUCAACUUUGUGCUGUAGACAAUAAGAAGCCAUUAGAGUUUUUGAGCCAGAAAGCAAAGUAUUAACCUGAUGAUCUUGUGCAGGAUGGUUUGGGGGUAGGUAGAGGCUGGCAGUGGGGAGACUCUGACAAAGCCUUUGAAGAAGUCUGAAAAUUAGGGCAAUAGAACCUGAACUGAGUAGGAGAGUCACAGGAAAGAGAAGGGCUGAUUAGAUACCAGGGCUGGGAAGACAUCAUGAGACAACUUAUUUUAGGGGUGCUUAAAAACCUGUGGGUGUAUGGGGGAGGUACCUGGCCCUUUUAAGGAAGAAGUGGUUAAGUCAGGUGGCCUGGGCUUGUUACAAAGUGAAGGUGAACUACUUAGUCAGCAGAAUAAAGUAUUGAUGGAGAGAAUAAUUGCCCUGCAGAAAUAAGGACACAGUGUCCUUCAUUUUGUGGAUUCAUAUUCUUCAUGAUGUGUGAUGCAAGAUGAACUGAAGGACUAAGAGAACAAAAUAGGAGCUCAAAUGAAAUCCUUUAGGGACUUUUGUUUUUGUGGUCUCUUUUUGGCCAGGGAGAUAGAAUAGGGAACACUCAGAAUUAGUAGGGGGCGGGGUGAGUGUUUCAGAAGCAAUGGAGGCCUUGUCUGGGAUUUUGUUUCGUAUUUUUUUAAUCCCUCUGAAUCUUGUUCUUAUCGUGAAGGCCUCAUGGUUGUAAAUAGAAUUUAGAGGAUUAUCAAAAUACAAGUUGUUUAUUCAAGAAUUACUUGGGAAGAGAAAAUGCAGGAGUACACCACGUCCAGUGAUGCACGUCUGGACAGAGGCUAAGUCUUGGGUCACUCACUUCACAAAGAGGCAUCACUGUUCACUCAGGGGCUCCCACCUGAGGCCCAGAGCAGAGGGAUUCAAAUAAAUGGACCAACCUCUAUAGACCUGCCUUGCAACCUCAAACCUUUUGGGGACAAAAGCAAGAAGAAAUGUUUAUGAUCCUAGAUUGUAGGAGAAAUAAUGGUGAUUUUUAAAAACACAAUUCCCAAUCUGGGAAAGAGAGACUACAGAAAAGAUUGAUGAGAUUGAUUUUGGAUAAAUUCAGUUUAAAAAGAUGGUGGAAAGGCCAACAAGAAGUGGUCAGUAGAAGUUGGAAGUGGGGAUCUGAGAUUUGGCUUGGAGAUCAGUGCAGGAGAAACCAAGGGCAGCUGUAGAUUUUGUGGAUACGCAUUGUUGUUAAUCAUCUGCAUAGAGAUGGUAGUUGAAUCCAUAAUAUUGGAGGAGUAUCUAGUGGAGAGAAAAAGACCAGAAGCAUGUGAGCUUGUUCAUUCAUUCCACAAAUAUUUGAGGGGACCCUGUGUGUGUGGCACAGGCAGAGAUGAGACCCACAGCAAGGGAGCAGCAGGAGGAGGAGGUUACAAAAGUGAUGGAAGAGUGGUGGGAAAGGGUCAGGUGGGGCAGAACCUCGUAAUGUCUUGGAAGCCAAGGAAAAAUAACUUAGUGGAAUAUAAAGCUAACCGAUAGUGACAAAUGUUGCAGAAGAGUAAAAAUUGACGACUGAGAAAAUGCCUUUUGGAUUUCAUGAGCAGGGCAUCGAUGACCUCGGAGUUUCAGGAGUGCUGUGGAAGCCUGACUGUAGGGGAUUAGGUGUUUGUGAGUGGGGAGGAAAUGGAGUCACAGCAUAAAGAACAAAAAGCAGCCCCUAAAAUUUUGCAAGAAAAGGAAAAGAGAAAUAGGGUUCCAGUUUUUAUUCUGACUCCCCAUCCCUGGUUUUGGAAAAGAAAGGGAUUUUGGGGAGAGUUAGGAUUUGAGUGAAACAUUUAAAGGUGAUAUGAGGGAGGGACACAAUGAUAUUGUAUACCAUAAAGGAGGUGAGGCUGGGCAGCUAGGUGAGAUGGGAGAUAAUCUAGACAUAUUUAAAAUUAAUUUUUGCUAGAAUGGGAAAACAAACAGGCAAUUUGAGGGAGCAAAUUUGGUUGUAUCAAAUAAAAUGUUAUGAUUAGAAAAGAUAAACAGCUUGUAAAGAGGUGACGAUUGGAUACUAUCAUGCAUUUCCUCUUACUUUUUAGACAUUUUGAAGCACUAUAUCUUAAUAGUUAGGAAAAGACUUGGAAUCAUGUGAGUCCCAGCUCUGUGAACUUGGGCAAAUUACUUAACCUCCCUAAGCCACAGUUUCCUCAACUGGGAAACAGACGGUAAUAUGACCUGCCUAAUAGAAGUGUUAAGAAGAAUGCGUGAGACUAUGCAUGUAAAGUCUUUAGUACAAUGCAGCAUAUAAUUAGCACUUGGUAUUAGCAGUGAUUCAUUUUUUCUUAAACCACUUUAUUCAGGUGUGAUUGGCAUACUAAAGGUGUACAUAUUUAGCAUGUACAACUUGGUGAGUUGUGAAACAAUCACCAAAGUCCAUGCCAUAAACCUAUCAUCUUCAAAAGUUUCCUCUCACCUUCUUUAUUAAUUAAUUAUUUUGGGGGGUAUGAUAAGAACACAAUGUAAAAGCUACUAUAUUAGCAAAUUUGUAAGUAUACAAUGCAGUAUUAAGUAUAGCUACUAUGCUAUGCAGUAGAUCUAGCCAAUGAUUCUUAUCUGCUUUGAACAUUUAGACCACCCCACACUUGAGUUAUAAUUAAUAUUUUAGUACUCCUGGCACUCUCUGCCUUAUAAGGCCUGGUGAAGAACAGUGACACUGCAGCCAAAUGGCUGAGCCAUCUAUUUGUUGUGUGGUCUUUGGGGAAGUUGCUUAAUAUUUUGUGCUAGUUUCUUCAUUUGUAAAAAGGAGAUAAUAAUAGUACCCACUUUAUGAUGCUGUUAUGAAAUUAAAUGAAUUCAUAUUUACGUGGUAAGAACACUGCUUGUCACAUAGUAAUUGCAAUGCCAACAUUUGCUGAGUAAAUAAAAAUGUUCUUCCUCUGUGUCUUUUUUUUUUUUUUUUUUUGAGAUUGAAUCUCGCUCUGUCACCCAGGCUGGAGUGCAGUGGCGUGAUCUCAGCUCACUACAAACUCUGCCUCUAGGGUUCAAGCCAUUCUCCUGCCUCAGCCUCCCGAGUAGCUGGAACUACAGGCAUGUGCCACUACAGCUGGCUAAUUUUUGUAUUUUUAGUAGAGACGGGGUUUCAUCGUGUUGGCCAGGCUGGUCUCAAACCCCUGACCUCAGGUGAUCCACCCGCCUCAGCCUCCUGAAGUGCUGGAAUUAUAGGCCUGAGCCACUGUGCUCGGCUUGUUGUUGCUGUUUUUCCUUCUGGGCUCAGGACAUCCCACUUGCUUGGACACUCAUCCUGGCAGGGAGGAAUCUCAGGGGAUACCUGCAGCUGUUAGGUCAGCACCUUAAAAGAAACUGGACCUUGAUUUGCCUUAGAGUGUCAUCUCUAGGAAAGGAAAUGAUGCCCAAGAAUAGGGUAGCGACUGCCUGGAUUGAUAUAGAAGCAAACAUUUUCUUAGUGGCAAGAAAAGCAGACUAAAUAUCCUUGCAGGCUGAGUCAGCAUUGUUUGCAUGUCUAAUUUUUUCAUCAACUUCUGUGGCAUGUUUUUCUAACUUAACUGUUCUCCUCUGAUGGAGCAGAGAGCCUUGGGUUUGUGAUUCAUGUGAAAUUGACACAUUCUUUCUACCUUAACCUUUCUGGCUAAAAUAGGAAAUGGGAGGAUUAGCUCCAAAGUACCUGAGAGGUAAAGCCAACUUGGCAUGCUGGGAAGGCAGAAGCAGGUGUUGAGGAUGAAUCAGCCAGUGUCCCUCCAUCGCCGACUGGUAUUGCCUUCUUUUAUCACAUGAAUUUAUACAGUAGCACUUCUCUGACAUCCGUCAGACUUGCCUAGUUUCCUAAAGACCUGGACAGGAUAACCUCGGAUUCAUUUUGGAGAACCUUUAUAAUUUUUUUUAAGCCCUUGGCUCAGAAAGGCCUUUUGGCUGGCCUUUUGUUAUUCUUGCCAAGCUAAGCUAAUAGCCUUGGAAACACAACACAAGGGCUCUUUAAAUAAAAGUUAUGUUUGAAUGCUUGGAGGAGGAUCAAAGUCAUCUUUAAAAUGUGCAUGCCUUGAGCUCUUUGUGAAGGCAUGCUCAUAAACUGGAAGGAGUAGUACCUUUCUCCAGCGACUGCCCUCCCAAGAUGACUGAAGUCAUUUCAAUCUGUCUUACCUUCACCUUGGAAAAGGUAACUUUCUACGGGGCACAGACAAAGACAAAGCAAAUCCUGGCUGGUGUUAUAUCUCCAGACCUCUUGCACCUUCCCCUGCAGCCAGACCCUUGACCCUGAAAUGCUCAGAUGAUGCAACUCUGUAUCACAUUCCCUGAAGUGCCCUGAAGCCUUGGUAAUGGCUUUCCUGCGUUAUGGAGGAACGGCAGCUAUCAGAGCCUGCAGUCUGACGGGAAAACGCAGCUUCUUGGAGGGAAAAUGGAGGACAGGCAUCCAGAUACUACUGCUCAGUUUAGUUGAUUCUGCAUUUAGUUCCAGGGUUAUUUGCCUCCCUCCAUUUUUUGAUAAACAGUACUUUUGUGAGGCAACUUUCUCUCUAGGUAAUAUCCUGGAGUUGUCCCCAUGGAGCUAGAGCUUCCGAGCUGCACGCUGCCGGGGCCUUCUGGAAACCAGUGGAAUUUCUCUAGAAGAGGCAAUGGUAUUCCUUUCUCAUUUUCUACAGCCAGAAUAAUCAAAGGAAUGUAAAUGUUUA